UUUUGAAGUCAGGGCGUACUGGCAGCUUCUUGUUGAAGUUAUCUGCAAAGAAACGAGUGAGGAAUUAAUACAAGUAUAGGGAGUUCAGGUUAAAAGAGUGUGGGCUUCGGUCCUAUUACCUUGGGACGCCAUUAAGUCGUGAGUGACGAAGUGUAUGUUUUUCCGAAUGAGCCUGUGAUAUGACCUCUUCUUCUGAGGCAGCUGAUAAAUAACACAAAUAAUGUCGAAGUCCUCUGUCGAUAGCUCGCACCGAGGGAGGGAACCUGCGAAAAGAAACAUCUGUUAAACACAAGCCCGGCCGAAGAGAAACAAAAUAUCAACUACUAUACUCACUAAGUGUUGAAAACUUCGCCGGGACUGUAAGAGCCGCCAGGGGGUCCCCCUCCAUUGUGUCCCAUCGCCCCGCUGCCCAGCACCAAGAGCUCUUUCAUUCCUUGAUGGAGCUCGGCAGAUCGAUCACAAAUGGAGUGUGGGAACCCCAUGACGUCAGGUAGUACCAGCCCCGGGUCUUAUCCCCCCCGGCAGUAACCUUGGGUAUGUAAAGAGUUUGGAAAACGGAAAGGGGCAUCUCCACUCCUAACGACGCCUCUUUCCACAACAUCCAGGAGCCCACCAUCUGGCUCCAGGAGUUCGGAUUGAGCUGCGUCGGGGCUAGCCCGUAAGACCUAAGCACCAACCUAAAGAACGGGUGAAUAGGCAGCCUAAGUCCGGCCCUAAGGAUCGCCUCACUAAUGGCCACGCAGCCCGGCCUUGGGUAACAAGCUCUCUCUUCUGGCCCUGGGAGAAUCAGAUCCACACUGUCCGGGAUCCUAUAUUCUGUCCUAAGUCUACCAAGGUCGGCCUCCCUCAACUUUGAUGAGUAGUCCGACA
rnacentral:lncRNA from 1 species